UGGCUUUUUCCCCACUGAUGGGAGGGCAGGAGGGAGACACAGGCAAUUUCCAUUCAUGAUUAAUGGGAACACAGCAGCCUGGAGAGCUUGCCAGAGCCCAGGAAACCUCUGUUUGCUUCUUAGGUCAGUCAUGGGGCUUUGGGAAAAGUGGUUUGGUCUCUACCAGCCCCCAAACUGCCUGCCUCAUCUUGGAGACCAGCUUCAUGGUUUGGGAUGCAGCCAGCUGGGGAUGUGCCUGGAGUCAAGCCAGAGGUGUGACAAGGAAACUAGGUGUUGAUGGAGCAUCCCAGACCCGCCCGUGAGAGAGGUCCAGCUCCUCCUCUCUAUCAGCACUCAGACAUGCAGAGAUCCACACCAGCCAUUCCCUGGAGGCUCUCCAGGGCAACCUGUGCCUGGAAGAACCUGGUUGCCUCCACUUACCUACAGAGCAAGCCCAGAGCUGCCAGACGAGAGACAGGAAGCUGCUACUUACCUACUCUGGUUUUAUUUCUCUUCUUCUUUCCUUUUCCUUUCUUUUGGGGCUCUCAGAAGCGUGUUCAGUCUGGAUUGAGGUUACAACCUGGGUAAUGCUUCCUUGCCUGAGAUUAAAAAAAUGAAAAGCCUGUUGCCAUA